GUGGAUUUGAAAUUUAAAAAAAAAAACGCUUUAUUUUUUAAUGAGAUUUGAAAGAGUGUAUUUUCCAGUAGUAAAUGAAUGUUUAAUCACAUUUGAUUGUUGUUUAAUUGAAGAAAUGAUAAGAUUAAUUUCGUGAAUGGCUUUUUGUACUUUUGGAUGGUUUGGCCCGUUAAUUUCAAUAUAUAACUUCUUCUUCUCACUAAUAUGAACAGAAUUGGUUGAAGGGUUGGAUGAAUCUGGAGGAAUAUAAAUACCUUUAACUUGGCAGAUAACACCACAGUUUUCAUUAAUAGUUUUUAUAAUAUCUUUAUGGACUAUUUUUUGUCUUAUAAGAGUAGGAUAAUCAUUAAUUUCAAAGAUUCCAAUGACUCUACCAUUGACAACUUGAUGAAGAUUAUUAGGAAUUGUGAUUGAGUUCGGAUUACUAUAAUCAGUAAUACUAAUUAUAUUUGUAUUUUGAAUAUUACAUACAUUGUUUAGUUUUGCAGCAUUAAUUGUGGCAAGUUGCAAAGCUUUUUCAGCUUCUGGCAUAUGAGCAAUUUCAGAAUGAGAUAGCGUAUUGGCAUCUGAAGUUGUGUUAUUAUUAAUAUUAUUAUUAUUAUUAUUAGUAGUAGUAGUAGAGUCAUCAUCAUAAUUUGAGUUAAUAAAGAUUUGUUCUUCAGUAAUAUUGGUUGUAUCAGGAAUAAGCCCAAGAGCUUUUUUAGUAUCAUCUUUAAGAAGUUGAAGGGAGCUUUUUUCAUCUUUGGAGAAUUUGAAUCCCUUACCUCCGAAACCAAAGUUUCGGAUUCUCUUAUUUGAUGAAUUAUUGGAAAUUGAUGAUGCACUCUUAUUCUUUUGUAUUAAUUCAUUAUAAAGCUGAAUAAUCUCUGGCUGAAUAAUAAUGGUGCUAUCAUCAUCAACAAAUUUAUUAGAAUUGGCAUUGCUAUUAUUAUCAUCAUCAUUUCCAUGAACAUUCCGAGAGAUAUGCCUAUUUGAAGCAUUAUUAUUGGAAUAUUUCAUUGCAAGUUCAAUUAAAUCAAAAGAUUGGGGUAUUUCAUUGGGUAAUAAAAGAGUAAAUGAGGUACCGAAAUUCCCAGCUCUCCCAGUUCUUCCAAUUCUGUGAAUGUAAUCCUCAAUAUGGUGUGGAGCUCCAAAGUUAAUAACAAGCAAAAUAUUGUCAACAUGAAGACCUCUUGAAAAUAUUGAUGUUGCUAUUAGAAUAUUCUGGCCUGAUGGAGGAGGUGGAUUGGAGUUCAUAUUAGUUUUUGAGAAAGUAGUUAAAUUUGAAUGUCUAUCAUAGUGGUCUUGACCGCUAUGUAAAGUUAAACAAUUAUAGCCAAAAGGGAUAAGUUUAGCAAAGAGUUCAUCCACAUCAGUUUGUCUAUUACAAAAAAUUACAAUAAGACCAAAUUCUGCCCAUUCACCAAGAAGUUGGAGUAGUCUUAGAAAUUGAUCAUUUUCAUUAUUAAGCAAUUCAAUAUACUGUUUAACAUUUUGGUUCAUUUGGCCUUUUUUUCCAACAAUUACUUGUAUUGGAUUAUGGAGUAUUUUAUUUGUAAACUGUUCAAUAAUAUUUGGGAAAGUUGCAGAAAAUAUGGCAAUUUGUCUAUCUGGCCUUAUAAUACUUAUAAUACUAAGAAGCUGGGGAGCAAAACCCAUAUCAAAUAAUCGAUCCCCUUCAUCAAUAACUAGAAAUGAAAUAAAUUGGAAAAUAACAAUUUUCUUAUGUAAUAGAGUCAUAAUAUCAAUAAUUCUUCCGGGAGUUCCAAUGAUUAUAUCUGAUCCUGAUCUAAUUUUAUUGAGUUGAUGACUAAUACUGAGCCCACCACAUAUAAUAUUGGUGGUGAGAUCUACAAGAUUUGCAAGCUGAGUGGUUUGUUUGUAAACUUGGAGGGCAAGCUCUCUAGUUGGAAUAAUAAUCAUUGCCCUAGCAAGGUUGGUAUUUUUGUUAAUUUGUAUAUCCAUCUCUGCAUUGAAUGGGUAGUUGUUAUUUGACUGCACCAAUACAUGUCUUAUAAGAGGAAGAAUAUAAGCUAAGGUUUUACCACUACCCGUCUCUGCAUUACCAAUCAUAUCAUAUCCAGACAUUAAUAUUGGUAUCGAUUGCAUUUGAAUUGGAAAUGGUUUAAUAAUGUUUUUUUUCUUAAGAUAAUGAUGAAUUGGAAGUGGUAGUCCACAUUGUGAAAAGUUUAAUAUCGGCUUUAUUGAAGAAUAUGGUUGAUUUAAGUCAUUUGAAGUUUUAUUGAUAUUCUUAAUUUUUUUAAUGUGGAUACCAUUAUUAGUAAUUCGAAUAUGAUCAACUUCAUGCUGUUUAAGUUUUUUAAUUUCAUUAACUUCUUUGUAAUAAUUUUUAAUAAUUGGUGGGUAAUUGAUUACUUCGUGGUUAAUUUCUGGUAUUCUCUUCUUUUUAUCCAAAGAGAGAAGUUCUUCAAUUUUACUUAAACUUGGAUUCAUA
rnacentral:antisense_RNA from 1 species